rnacentral:rRNA from 1 species
GAUGAACGCUGGCGGCGUGCCUAGUACAUGCAAGUCGAGCGAACGGGCGAGAAGCUUGCUUCUCUGAUGUUAGCGGCGGACGGGUGAGUAACACGUGGAUAACCUACCUAUAAGACUGGGAUAACUUCGGGAAACCGGAGCUAAUACCGGAUGAUAUUUUGAACCGCAUGGUUCAAAAGUGAAAGACGGUCUUGCUGUCACUUAUAGAUGGAUCCGCGCUGCAUUAGCUAGUUGGUAAGGUAACGGCUUACCAAGGCAACGAUGCAUAGCCGACCUGAGAGGGUGAUCGGCCACACUGGAACUGAGACACGGUCCAGACUCCUACGGGAGGCAGCAGUAGGGAAUCUGCCGCAAUGGGCGAAAGCCUGACGGAGCAACGCCGCGUGAGUGAUGAAGGUCUUCGGACCGUAAAACUCUGUUAUGAGGGAAGAACAUAUGUGUAAGUAACUGUGCACAUCUUGACGGGACCUAAUCAGAAAGCCACGGCGAACUACGU